CGCGUCUUGACGGGGUGCUGGUCGGGCCAGAAGGCCGAUCGGCUGAGAUUGCUUUGCAGAACCCGCGACCUGAUCCGGAUAAUACCGGCGUAGGAAAUUAAGACCCGGCACAAC
rnacentral:ncRNA from 1 species